AGAGAUUAUUCACUACAUUUCUUUUUCCGGUUAACGAUAUCUUCCAUACAGUUUUCGUCGAGUUAAGCCCCGUUACUCCGCAAAAGCUCCUUCGAUAUCCUAACCUCUUAAAAAAAAUGUUGCAAUAGCACGGAAGUAGAAUAGAUGCUUCAUGCUAAAAGUUCAAACCAAAUGAUAGUUACCUGGAAGGAUGCUGAAUUCAGACUUCAUGUCGUGAGCAUCUGCCUCGAGGAAAAUAGAAUAUAUCUGCGUGCGUGUUUAUCAUUCCUGUAUCUUAGUUAAUUGGGCUGGCAUCUUCAAACUGUUGGCGAGCUUCAAUAAAUUUAUUUAAUAAGGAUGCUGAAAUCAUAUAUUGCAAUUUGAUCAUGAGGUG
rnacentral:lncRNA from 1 species